GACGAACGCUGGCGGCGUGCUUAACACAUGCAAGUCGAACGGAAAGGCCCUGCUUUUGUGGGGUGCUCGAGUGGCGAACGGGUGAGUAACACGUGAGUAACCUGCCCUUGACUUUGGGAUAACUUCAGGAAACUGGGGCUAAUACCGGAUAGGAGCUCCUGCUGCAUGGUGGGGGUUGGAAAGUUUCGGCGGUUGGGGAUGGACUCGCGGCUUAUCAGCUUGUUGGUGGGGUAGUGGCUUACCAAGGCUUUGACGGGUAGCCGGCCUGAGAGGGUGACCGGCCACAUUGGGACUGAGAUACGGCCCAGACUCCUACGGGAGGCAGCAGUGGGGAAUAUUGCACAAUGGGCGGAAGCCUGAUGCAGCAACGCCGCGUGCGGGAUGACGGCCUUCGGGUUGUAAACCGCUUUCGCCUGUGACGAAGCGUGAGUGACGGUAAUGGGUAAAGAAGCACCGGCUAACUACGUGCCAGCAGCCGCGGUGAUACGUAGGGUGCGAGCGUUGUCCGGAUUUAUUGGGCGUAAAGGGCUCGUAGGUGGUUGAUCGCGUCGGAAGUGUAAUCUUGGGGCUUAACCCUGAGCGUGCUUUCGAUACGGGUUGACUUGAGGAAGGUAGGGGAGAAUGGAAUUCCUGGUGGAGCGGUGGAAUGCGCAGAUAUCAGGAGGAACACCAGUGGCGAAGGCGGUUCUCUGGGCCUUUCCUGACGCUGAGGAGCGAAAGCGUGGGGAGCGAACAGGCUUAGAUACCCUGGUAGUCCACGCUGUAAACGGUGGGUACUAGGUGUGGGGUCCAUUCCACGGGUUCCGUGCCGUAGCUAACGCUUUAAGUACCCCGCCUGGGGAGUACGGCCGCAAGGCUAAAACUCAAAGGAAUUGACGGGGCCCCGCACAAGCGGCGGAGCAUGCGGAUUAAUUCGAUGCAACGCGUAGAACCUUACCUGGGUUUGACAUGGAUCGGGAGUGCUCAGAGAUGGGUGUGCCUCUUUUGGGGUCGGUUCACAGGUGGUGCAUGGCUGUCGUCAGCUCGUGUCGUGAGAUGUUGGGUUAAGUCCCGCAACGAGCGCAACCCUUGUUCACUGUUGCCAGCACGUUAUGGUGGGGACUCAGUGGAGACCGCCGGGGUCAACUCGGAGGAAGGUGGGGAUGACGUCAAGUCAUCAUGCCCCUUAUGUCCAGGGCUUCACGCAUGCUACAAUGGCUGGUACAGAGAGUGGCGAGCCUGUGAGGGUGAGCGAAUCUCGGAAAGCCGGUCUCAGUUCGGAUUGGGGUCUGCAACUCGACCUCAUGAAGUCGGAGUCGCUAGUAAUCGCAGAUCAGCAACGCUGCGGUGAAAAAGGUCCCGGGGCU
rnacentral:rRNA from 1 species